GAUGAACGCUAGCGGCAUGCUUUACACAUGCAAGUCGAACGGUAACAGGUUAAGCUGACGAGUGGCGAACGGGUGAGUAAUGCAUCGGAACGUGCCCGGUCGUGGGGGAUAACGCAGCGAAAGCUGCGCUAAUACCGCAUACGAUCUGAGGAUGAAAGCGGGGGACCGUAAGGCCUCGCGCGAUCGGAGCGGCCGAUGUCAGAUUAGGUAGUUGGUGGGGUAAAGGCUCACCAAGCCAACGAUCUGUAGCUGGUCUGAGAGGACGACCAGCCACACUGGGACUGAGACACGGCCCAGACUCCUACGGGAGGCAGCAGUGGGGAAUUUUGGACAAUGGGCGAAAGCCUGAUCCAGCAAUGCCGCGUGCAGGAAGAAGGCCUUCGGGUUGUAAACUGCUUUUGUACGGAGCGAAAAGGUCUCCUCUAAUACAGGGGGCUCAUGACGGUACCGUAAGAAUAAGCACCGGCUAACUACGUGCCAGCCGCCGCGGUAA
rnacentral:rRNA from 1 species